rnacentral:rRNA from 1 species
GUUGAGGUUCUAACCCAGCUCCCUGAUCGGGAGCGGGGACAGUGUAUGGUGGGUAGUUUGACUGGGGCGGUCUCCUCCUAAAAGAGUAACGGAGGAGUACGAAGGUGCGCUCAGCGUGGUCGGAAAUCACGCACUGAGUAUAAAGGCAAAAGCGCGCUUAACUGCGAGACCCACAAGUCGAGCAGGUACGAAAGUAGGUCUUAGUGAUCCGGUGGUUCUGUAUGGAAGGGCCAUCGCUCAACGGAUAAAAGGUACUCUGGGGGAUAACAGGCUGAUACCGCCCAAGAGUUCAUAUCGACGGCGGUGUUUGGCACCUCGAUGUCGGCUCAUCUCAUCCUGGGGCUGAAGCAGGUCCCAAGGGUAUGGCUGUUCGCCAUUUAAAGAGGUACGCGAGCUGGGUUUAGAACGUCGUGAGACAGUUCGGUCCCUAUCUACCGUGGGC